rnacentral:rRNA from 1 species
CUCCAGACUCCUACGGGAGGCAGCAGUGAGGAAUAUUGGUCAAUGGCCGCAGGGCUGAACCAGCCAAGUCGCGUGAGGGAUGACGGUCCUAUGGAUUGUAAACCUCUUUUGUCAGGGAGCAAAGGGCGCCACGUGUGGCGCUUUGCGAGUACCUGAAGAAAAAGCAUCGGCUAACUCCGUGCCAGCAGCCGCGGUAAUACGGAGGAUGCGAGCGUUAUCCGGAUUUAUUGGGUUUAAAGGGUGCGCAGGCGGAAUGUCAAGUCAGCGGUAAAAUUUCGGGGCUCAACCCCGUCGUGCCGUUGAAACUGGAGACCUUGAGUGCGCGGAAGGCAGGCGGAAUUCGUGGUGUAGCGGUGAAAUGCUUAGAUAUCACGAAGAACCCCGAUUGCGAAGGCAGCCUGCCGCAGCGUUACUGACGCUGAAGCUCGAAAGCGCGGGUAUCGAACAGGAUUAGAUACCCCGGUAU